GACGAACGCUGGCGGCGUGCCUAAUACAUGCAAGUUGAGCGAUGAAGAUUGGUGCUUGCACCAAUUUGAAGAGCAGCGAACGGGUGAGUAACGCGUGGGGAAUCUGCCUUUGAGCGGGGGACAACAUUUGGAAACGAAUGCUAAUACCGCAUAACAACUUUAAACAUAAGUUUUAAGUUUGAAAGAUGCAAUUGCAUCACUCAAAGAUGAUCCCGCGUUGUAUUAGCUAGUUGGUGAGGUAAAGGCUCACCAAGGCGAUGAUACAUAGCCGACCUGAGAGGGUGAUCGGCCACAUUGGGACUGAGACACGGCCCAAACUCCUACGGGAGGCAGCAGUAGGGAAUCUUCGGCAAUGGACGAAAGUCUGACCGAGCAACGCCGCGUGAGUGAAGAAGGUUUUCGGAUCGUAAAACUCUGUUGGUAGAGAAGAACGUUGGUGAGAGUGGAAAGCUCAUCAAGUGACGGGAACGACCCAGAAAGGGACGGCGAACUACGU
rnacentral:rRNA from 1 species